CUCCUUGUCCUAGUGCUACCAUUGGGCUGCCUGCACUGUCCUGAGGACUGAGGCCAACUUCAUCUGAUGGACUCCACGGGGAUCCUCAGGGCACAAGCAUGAAAGUCAUCAAUGUCUUCAACUCCAGGAGCCUGAGCUGAGUCCACAUCCUGAGAAACCAGGAUUGGAGGAGCAGGUGGAAGAAAGAUUGUAUGCAGGUUUUGAGGAUGUGGAGCAGGUGGGAAUGGAAGCGCUCAGCAUAAGGCUGGAUGACCUGUCUCAAGAUAAUAAUUUCUGACCUCUCAGAAUAAUACUAGCUGGUAAGGUCCCGGUCAGUGAUAGCAGUACACACUGCCAAGGUCUGAAAAUGAAGUGGACAGCAGGAGAAAUGAAGAGGCAAGUUUAAAAGACUUAGAAGUUCACCAUGGGCACAUUUAUCCUGAAAUUCUCCACUCU